rnacentral:tRNA from 1 species
GGAGAGCGCCUGCCUUGCACGCAGGAGGUCAGCGGUUCGAUCCCGCUAAGCUCCACCA